rnacentral:rRNA from 1 species
AGAGUUUGAUCCUGGCUCAGGACGAACGCUGGCGGCGUGCUUAACACAUGCAAGUCGAACGGAAAGGCCUCUUCGGAGGUACUCGAGUGGCGAACGGGUGAGUAACACGUGGGCAAUCUGCCCUGCACUUCGGGAUAAGCCUGGGAAACUGGGUCUAAUACCGGAUAGGACCACGAGACGCAUGUCUUGUGGUGGAAAGCUUUUGCGGUGUGGGAUGGGCCCGCGGCCUAUCAGCUUGUUGGUGGGGUGACGGCCUACCAAGGCGACGACGGGUAGCCGGCCUGAGAGGGUGUCCGGCCACACUGGGACUGAGAUACGGCCCAGACUCCUACGGGAGGCAGCAGUGGGGAAUAUUGCACAAUGGGCGCAAGCCUGAUGCAGCGACGCCGCGUGGGGGAUGACGGCCUUCGGGUUGUAAACCUCUUUCACCAUCGACGAAGGUUCGGGUUUUCUCGGAUUGACGGUAGGUGGAGAAGAAGCACCGGCCAACUACGUGCCAGCAGCCGCGGUAAUACGUAGGGUGCGAGCGUUGUCCGGAAUUACUGGGCGUAAAGAGCUCGUAGGUGGUUUGUCGCGUUGUUCGUGAAAUCUCACGGCUUAACUGUGAGCGUGCGGGCGAUACGGGCAGACUAGAGUACUGCAGGGGAGACUGGAAUUCCUGGUGUAGCGGGAAUGCGCAGAUAUCAGGAGGAACACCGGUGGCGAAGGCGGGUCUCUGGGCAGUAACUGACGCUGAGGAGCGAAAGCGUGGGGAGCGAACAGGAUUAGAUACCCCGGUAGUCC